UUCUUUUCUGAAAUUCAUAACGUACAUGGUUCUUGCCUUUUACCAGAACCAUCCGGGUAUUGUCUUCACUUCAAAUGGUUGUGUCCAUUGGCAUUUUUUGGAAACCUUUUUCUGUUUUGAUAGGGA
rfam:Cyberlindnera jadinii strain CBS1600 genome assembly, contig: CJ4